rnacentral:rRNA from 1 species
UGGGGAAUAUUGCACAAUGGGCGCAAGCCUGAUGCAGCCAUGCCGCGUGUAUGAAGAAGGCCUUCGGGUUGUAAAGUACUUUCAGCGAGGAGGAAGGCGUUGUGGUUAAUAACCGCAACGAUUGACGUUACUCGCAGAAGAAGCACCGGCUAACUCCGUGCCAGCAGCCGCGGUAAUACGGAGGGUGCAAGCGUUAAUCGGAAUUACUGGGCGUAAAGCGCACGCAGGCGGUCUGUCAAGUCGGAUGUGAAAUCCCCGGGCUCAACCUGGGAACUGCAUCCGAAACUGGCAGGCUAGAGUCUUGUAGAGGGGGGUAGAAUUCCAGGUGAAGCGGUGAAAUGCGUAGAGAUCUGGAGGAAUACCGGUGGCGAAGGCGGCCCCCUGGACAAAGACUGACGCUCAGGUGCGAAAGCGUGGGGAGCAAACA